rnacentral:rRNA from 1 species
GUUUUUAUGUAAUUUUUAUAAAGUCUAAUCUGCUCACUGAAAUUUAAAGAGCCGCGGUAUUUUAACCGUGCAAAGGUAGCAUAAUAAUUAGUUUUUUAAUUGGGAGCUUGAAUGAAUGAUUGAUCAAGAAAUAAAUUGUCUUAAUUAAAUAAAUUGAAUUUAACUUUUAAGUAAAAAGGCUUAAAUAAUUUUAAGUGACGAUAAGACCCUAUAAAAUUUAAUAAUUAAAGUAUAAAAUAUAAUUUAGUUAUUAAUUUUCUUUUUAUUUAAUUUAUUUUAUUGGGGCGAUAUAAAUAAAAUUAGUAACUGUUUAUAUUAUUUAAAUAAUAAUUAUUAGAAUAAUAAUUAAUGAUCCUUAAUUAAAGAUUAUGAGAUUAAAUUACUUUAGGGAUAACAGCGUAAUUUUUUUUAAGAGUUCUUAUCUACAAAAAAUAUUGCGACCUCGAUGUUGAAUUAAAAAUUCAUUAAGGUGUAGCCGCUUUAAUAGAAGGUCUGUUCGACCUUUAAAUUUUU